GGGUCGAUGGCGAAGCUGGUUAUCGCAUCUGUCUCACAUAAUUUGCAAUUCUUGUAUUUGUUCACAGAAGGCCCCCAGUUCAAACCUGGGUCGACUUA